rnacentral:rRNA from 1 species
ACUCCUGCGGGAGGCAGCAGUGGGGAAUAUUGCACAAUGGGCGCAAGCCUGAUGCAGCCAUGCCGCGUGUAUGAAGAAGGCCUUCGGGUUGUAAAGUACUUUCAGCGGGGAGGAAGGCGAUAAGGUUAAUAACCUUGUCGAUUGACGUUACCCGCAGAAGAAGCACCGGCUAACUCCGUGCCAGCAGCCGCGGUAAUACGGAGGGUGCAAGCGUUAAUCGGAAUUACUGGGCGUAAAGCGCACGCAGGCGGUCUGUCAAGUCGGAUGUGAAAUCCCCAGGCUCAACCUGGGAACUGCAUUCGAAACUGGCAGGCUAGAGUCUUGUAGAGGGGGGUAGAAUUCCAGGUGUAGCGGUGAAAUGCGUAGAGAUCUGGAGGAAUACCGGUGGCGAAGGCGGCCCCCUGGACAAAGACUGACGCUCAGGUGCGAAAGCGUGGGGAGCAAACAGGAUUAGAAACCCGUGUAGUCCC